GCUCAUUCCCUGUGUUUCCGUGAGUUUGACCUUCUCGACGUUGCUGUUCGGUAAAUCCGAGGUAUCGAUUGCGGAUACUUUGUAAUGAGGUUUAUGAGGGAAAUCAUUAAUAUGAAUCAAAUAGAGAUUCCAAUCACGUACUUUGAUGAAUACAAGUGUGCUCAUUACACGAGACUGCAGUUGGAACAAAUCAAGGAGGAAUUGUGUCAAUAUUUUAUUGAGAAAAGAUUAAUUAGUAUAUAAUGGUUUCAAAAUAACAUGAAUACUUUGAUGAAGAAUGGUUUCUGGUUGGCAAGUGUAUAGUUCUUUAUAUUUUUAACAGAUUAGUUAUGACUCCAAAUAGGCCGUAUAACAUAUUAGUUUUGACUUGUGUAUAGUUCUUUAUAAUUUUAGUGAUAUCUUUAAUUUCAUGGAUA